CGUCCCGACCACUGAAGCACGACCCUGAAAUCCCACCUAGAGAUUUCCAAGGAAUGACGCACUGACACGGACCAAGCAUACGAGACCAAUCCAGAAAGGUUUAUCACCCAUAUACAUAUACAUCACAUACCAGCUCUUUAUAAUUCACCUCUUUCAUUUCUUUCCCAGUGGUUCCAUACCCUUUCAUUACUCUCAAACCAUAGUUGUGGAAUUUCAUCUCAUGACAAUACAUUGCCACUUUAACACCAACCAUCUCAUUUGUUUCACAUGCCGAGAUCAUGAAAUCAUAUCAAUCCAAUUUAUAACCACAACUUAUCUCAUGCAUUUCAUUUCGCAGGUCUCAUACAUUAUAUAGGGUACAUCAUAAAUCCAACAUUUCAUUUAGCCAAGUGAAGGAAACAACACAACUCGCAAUAGAUCUUGCUCAAGUCAGGAGUCCUCGCUUAGGCGAGAGGAGUGCCCUCGCUUAGGCGGUGGACCCUUGCUUAGGCGAGAUCGUGAUAGGGGCAUGGGGAGGCUUUCGCAUGGCUCGCUUAGGCGAGCCCUCCUCACCUGAGCACGACAACCCCUCGCCCAAAGGUGAGGUUCCUCGCCUGGGCUAAAACAGGAGCAACAAGCCCAAAGCUCUCACGUGUCCUCGCGUAGGCGAGCGUCUCUCGCUUGAGCGAGAUAAUGUCUCGCUCAAAACAAGGGCUUCUGCCUGAGCGAGAGCUCAAGUGUAGCUCUGAUCUGUUCCUGCAAGUGUCGCCUAGGCGAGACAGGCUCACUUGGACGAGUGUGUCAAACCUCGCCACUGUUUCUCCCUACCACAUUCAUAUUUCAUACCCAAACAAAAAUGCUAACCAACUCAUACAUCCACAACAACAUACAACUAAACCAAUCAUGAAACAAAUGCAAAACAACCGUAAUCACACCAACAAACAGGAAGGUUCUAACUUCCCUUACCUGGAAAGGGUUUAGCAAGGGACCUCGACACCAUAAGAGUGAGCACAGCAGCUCCGAAACAGUUUAGGGAACUGGAAAAAUAGUGGAACAAAACAUAAGAUGAGUUCCCUACAGAACCCUAACUGGGAAAAUAUGAAAACAUAACUAGGGAGGGAUGGUACGAGACGAAGGGUAACUUACGUUGAGUAGGAAAGAGCUCGAGCGAACUUGACAAUGGUGAGGAAACAAAUCCUAGCAGAGGGGUUGACGGCUGCAGCUCAAGGUUCUCUGAAAAUGUGUAGAAAGUGUGAGUUAGGGCAGACUUAGGAGUAGAUUUUAUUCUUUGGGUUAGCCUUUAGGCCCAACAGUUUUUAAGGCAGCCUUUAAAAUAUUAGGCUAGAAAACUGGCCUUACAAUAAAUAUGCUAUAUUACUUUUGUAAAAGAAUUAAUGAAUAGAUGUAAAAGAGAAUGGCAGUCAAUUUUCUUUUUAAACUAACUUCGUUUAAAAUUUCGAUCUUUAUAUAAGAGAACGGGAUAACAUUUACAUAUGCAAGAUUUACUAAAUUUUUUACUGAUUAAAAUUAAAUUCACAAUUAGAUACACAGAUUACAUUUUAUGUUAAACAAAAGUAAAAUCUAAUAAAUUUGAUGAGAGGUAAUGUAAUAGAAGAAUUAUAAAUUUUUUCCUCAUUUUCAAACAUUUUCUUUAUUAUCGAUUAAAACUACUUGUUUCAAUAGCUUUUUGGUUUUUAACAUCUACUUUUAGUAAAUUGUUUAUAGUAAAUUAAAUCGAUAACAACUAUAUUAACUAAGUUUUAGAUAGAAAUGGAGUGUAGAAAUAAAAGAGAAAACGAAAAAAUAUAUAGACCUAUCCUUUUGGACACAUGAAAAAAAAAAUGUAAAACUCAAAAAUUUCAUAAAAUUGAUUUAUUGCUUGUUAUUUUGUUUUUAUUAUAACCAAUAAAUCUAUUUUUGUUUUUAUUUAUCAAGUGGUUGAGAGGCUGUUGGAGGUUCCAAUUUUCACACUUUUGCUUGAUUCAAUGUUGAUAAGGUAACAAAAAUGUGUGAUGUCAAUGAUGUCCCGGUGUAGUUUUUGCUGACACUGAAUUAGGAGUUGUUGGUUUUUCAGUUUUUAAGCUUGCUGAUUGCUCUGGUUUUAAUGUUACUAGGGUAGUUACUAACUUACCAGUGAUGAAGUUGACAGUUCUUGAUGCUAUUAGGCCUGAAAGGUACCUAUUCCAUUUUCAUCCACCAAGCAACAACCUUCACUUGAUGGAGAGCUGUUGAUGUUGCAGCGGAGGGCUUGGCCAGGAGCAAUUUUGUGCACAUAUCGGCAUUCUGGCCAGAUAUGAUCGACACCAACACAAGGGACAAAAGCUGAUAAGCUUUUUCCUGCCUUUUCUUUUUAAUGACAGUAAUAGGUUGUUAUUAGUAGUUAGUGUAGUUUUAAGUAGCAUAAUAAAUAGCUUUACAUAAAAAUAAAAAGGAUAAACUUUGAUUUUAUGGCCCAUUUAAAUAAGCUUAAGGCCCAAUUUCCUGCCCUAAUAUUUUAAGGGCCGCGUUUAGUCUAAUGGGCCUAAAGGCGGGCCCAAAGAGAAAAACUAGACCCUAAUAUGUUCUAACGUUUCCAUUUUCCCCCACUUUCAAAAAAACAGUCUCUUCUUGUCUCCUUGAGCACUGCUAGGGUUUGAUUCCUCACCAUUGUCAAGUUCGCUCAAGCUCUUUCUUGCUCAACCUUGGAAUGAAUGUGGAAAGGUAGAGAGAACCUAGCAGAAUGGGGUAGCCCUAUAGAAUUGGGAGAAGGCUUGAGGAUGAGCGUUCGAACUUCUCAAUUUUUGACUAAAAACUCCAGGUUAGGGGAGCUGUCUCUUUUGCGUGUGUAACAUGCAUGAAUUGUAUAGCGGACUACACGGGUAAGGUGGCACAUACACGGGUAAGGUGACACUUGUGCCUAACUUAUCUUGUUUGUUCUGUGCAGGAACAUCUUUGAUUAUGAUUUUCUUACUUAGCUUUAAUUUUUAUAAUCUCGUGUUUUGUCUUAAAUUUUUAUGUAACCCUGUUUUAUAUGUUCAUCAAUCAAUAGAUGUUGUUUCCGAUGUAUACGUAGUUUCGUGUUCUGUCUGGAUUUGUGAGUAUUCUGAAUAUGUUUAGUUUGUGUGUUAUUCCGUGUUCUUCAUAUAUGAUUAUGUAGUUUCAAUGUCUUUGGAGUUCUAUAUUUGCUAAUAUACCGUAGUAAGUAUUCUGAAUACUUCAUUCUUUAGUAUUUUUCUACUGGUGUUAAAAUCUUUUGAAGCUAAAUUUGAGUCUUUGUGGCUGUUUGAACCAUUGUUGAUAUGGAAAUCAAUUCUCUGACCAUUGGUUGUGUUAACCAAACCAUGUUUGUUUCAUUGAAUUGAUAUAUCUGGCUAUGUUCAGAUUACUCAUGUGAAAACAUUAUUUGGUUUAGUUGAAUGCAUAGGUUGCGCCAACACUUUUAUUUCAGUUUUCCAGUGCUGACUUUGUUAUGCUAUUUUGAAAACAAAUUCCUAUACUUGUUUUGUAUGCCUUUGAUGAGUCAUUUGCAGUCUUUGAAAAACUUUUUUACAGUGUUGAUUUUUGUGCUUUGGCCAUGUGAUUUGAAUUAAAACCAAUACCGUGUUUUCAUUCCAGUAUUGGUGUGAGGUCUUGUGAUAGAAACAACUCUGGUUUAACAGUUCGAUUUUGAUAAUAGUUUCACGAUUGCAACUGUUUCAAAUCACCGAGCUAUUUUUUGAAAGCAUUUCAGCUUGCUAAGUUGAAUACCUUGGCUGAAUUUUAUGCCUAAAAAUGAAUCUUGCUUAGUCUUUGUUUAACAGAUUUGGUUGUUGUACUGUGUUUCUAUCUUCUUCCAGUGUGUUGUCCAUUUUGAUUAAGUGAUCUUUUUAAGGCUUGGCCGAAAAGCUGGUUGAAAAUUGUGAUGCAUAUCUUAAAUGCAGUAGUAUGACCUAGUUCUGUUUUGCUUUGUAGUUUUUGUGUUAACAGAACCUUGUUUGAAACUGAUUCAUACUGAGUGGAUUUUGGUUUACUCACAUUCUACUGCAUAUUGUUGAGUUUUUUUUCACCGGCCGAGAGCCUUAUCUAACCUUGUGUGUUCUUUCAAAAAUAUUUUAGUUAAAUUAUUUUAAAUCCGUCAUAUGCAUUUGCUAGUUGAAUUUGAAGUGGCAUUUUAAAGUUGUUGUGAGUUGUUGCUGUUUAGAGGACUUUUGAGAGUUGGAAAAGAAAUGAAAAAAAAAAGUGAAAAGACAUGAUGAGAAAAUCUGAAAAGAGAAGUUGAAAGCAUUGUUUGAACCAUUAUAGAGUGAAAAGAAAAUGUGUAGUGCAGUUCACAACAUCUUAACAUUUCAGUUACAAUUGCAUAUGCUCAAAAUUCAACUUCUUUCCGUCUCUUAGUUUGAUUUUGGUUUUCUUAAUCAUAAACUAGACCAUUUCAUUUGGUUCAUUUUGAUUGCCUCCUUGUUGCUUUGCGUUAUUUUCUUGCUGUCAUUCUUGAUUUUUCUAUAGAGUAUAUCCAUUAACUCUAUCAUUUGUUGUUGUCCUUAUUUCUAAUUUGAGCCUUUUCUUGCUUUUCUGUUAUUCUAUUCUCUCUUGUGGAAGAAUAAUUUUGGCUUCCCUUGUUCCUAUUUGAUUACUUGGAAAACUCACAUUUGAGGCAUUACUAGGUGUCAAUUUUCAUAUUGAAGGAACUUUGGAGCUGCUGUUAGGAGAAACAUCUUCGGUGAAACACAAAUAGAGCUGGACUCUGAGAGCAAGAAAUGGGGUGGAAAGUGUAAGACCCGAGAAAUUUAGAUAAUUAAAUAAAUAAUUAUUUAAUAAACGUGGGUAGUGAGAAUCUUUAUAGCAUUUAAUGCUUGGACUUGUCACUUGAAAAAGUAUUAGCUUAAGUGGUUGGAAGUACUUGAUUGUGUUUUAUUGUUUUGCUUGUAUGCUUCAGACUAGAGUAGUAAGAUAAAAUCAUAAAUAAGUAUGAGUUAUCAAGAAA